rnacentral:rRNA from 1 species
UACGAGGGGGGCAAGCGUUGCUCGGAAUUACUGGGCGUAAAGGGUCCGUAGGCGGUGUGGCAAGUCGGGAAGUGAAAUCUCUGGGCUUAACCCAGAGGCUGCUUCCGAAACUGCUGUGCUAGAGUGUGAGAGAGGCGAGUGGAAUUGCGGGUGUAGCGGUGAAAUGCGUAGAUAUCCGCAGGAACAUCCGAGGCGAAAGCGGCUCGCUGGAUCACAACUGACGCUGAGGGACGAAAGCUAGGGGAGCAAACAGG